CAGUCGCCGCGGGAAAACGAAGGGUGCAAGCGUUACUCGGAAUUACUGGGCGUAAAGCGUGUGUAGGUGGUUGUUUAAGUCUGUCGUGAAAGCCCUGGGCUCAACCUGGGAAUGGCGAUGGAUACUGGGCGACUAGAGUGCGGUAGAGGAUAGUGGGAUUUCCGGUGUAGCAGUGAAAUGCGUAGAGAUCGGAAGGAACAUCUGUGGCGAAGGCGACUAUCUGGGCCAACACUGACACUGAGACACGAAAGCGUGGGGAGCAAACAGGAUUAGAUACCCGUGUAGUCCCUGUCUCUUAUAC
rnacentral:rRNA from 1 species